rnacentral:rRNA from 1 species
UAGGACGAACGCUGGCGGCGUGCUCAUACACGCAAGUCGAACGAGAAGUCACCUUCGGGUGAUGGAAAGUGGCGGACGGGUGAGUAAUGUGUAGAGAAUCUGCCCUAGAGAGAGGGACAACAGUUGGAAACGACUGCUAAUACCUCAUAUGCGCGUAGCUGAGAUGCUAUUCGUGAAAACUCCGGUGCUCUGGGAUGAGUCUGCAUCUGAUUAGCUAGUUGGCGGUGUAAUGGACCACCAAGGCGACGAUCAGUAGCUGGUUUGAGAGGAUGAUCAGCCACAAUGGGACUGAGACACGGCCCAUACUCCUACGGGAGGCAGCAGUAGGGAAUUUUGCGCAAUGGGGGAAACCCUGAACCGCAGCAACGCCGCGUGAUUGAAUAAGCCCUUCGGGGUGUAAAGAUCUGUCAGUAGGGACGAAACUUGACGGUACCUACAGAGGAAGCAUCGGCUAACUCCGUGCCAGCCGCGGC